rnacentral:rRNA from 1 species
GACGAACGCUGGCGGCGUGCUUAACACAUGCAAGUCGAACGGAAAGGCCCUGCUUUUGUGGGGUGCUCGAGUGGCGAACGGGUGAGUAACACGUGGGUAACCUGCCCUUGACUUUGGGAUAACUUCAGGAAACUGGGGCUAAUACCGGAUAGGAGCUCCUGCUGCAUGGUGGGGGUUGGAAAGUUUCGGCGGUUGGGGAUGGACUCGCGGCUUAUCAGCUUGUUGGUGGGGUAGUGGCUUACCAAGGCUUUGACGGGUAGCCGGCCUGAGAGGGUGACCGGCCACAUUUGGACUGAGAUACGGCCCAGACUCCUACGGGAGGCAGCAGUGGGGAAUAUUGCACAAUGGGCGGAAGCCUGAUGCAGCAACGCCGCGUGCGGGAUGACGGCCUUCGGGUUGUAAACCGCUUUCGCCUGUGACGAAGCGUGAGUGACGGUAAUGGGUAAAGAAGCACCGGCUAACUACGUG